UACGGGGGGGGCAAGCGUUGUUCGGAAUUACUGGGCGUAAAGGGCUCGUAGGCGGCCAACUAAGUCAGACGUGAAAUCCCUCGGCUUAACCGGGGAACUGCCUGUCAAACUGCAUGGCUUGAGACCGGGAGAGGUGAGUGGAAUUCCCAGUGUAGCGGUGAAAUGCGUAGAUAUUGGGAGGAACACCAGUGGCGAAGGCGGCUCACUGGACCGGUACUGACGCUGAUGCGCGAAAGCGUGGGGAGCAAACAGG
rnacentral:rRNA from 1 species